rnacentral:lncRNA from 1 species
UACGAAACAUUGAGAUAGAUUACCUUAACGUGAAUCAUUGAGAAGAUAUUUGCUAUCUCAUUUUGGGAAGCGUUUGAGCAUGUCAUUUGCACCUUGAAGUUGUCAGCCCAAAACAUAUAUUCAUCUAAAAAAAUAGAGAGAAUACGCAUUAGGAAGCACAGAAGUACUCGAUCAGACGCAUCGAGGAUCGAGCUCCACUGUUCUCAAAAUCUUUGCAGCUUAAGGAUGGAUACCUCUUGUUAGGUAGUUAAUCUGGACAGAGUAAAGCAUACACUAAUAGAUAUAUUAGAGAAGACCAUUAACUAUAUACAAAACUGACUGCAGCCUCCAGAAAAAGAAACUUACAUGUAGGUAAAGUGUGUGUUGGGGCGUUGGACUGCUGUAGCUCAUAUUUUUAACCUCGACUAAUGCAGAGUCUCCGGCAACAAUUGACACAAAUAGUUUGAAAAGCCAUGAGAACUGUAAUGAGUAAUGUAUGGAACCAAAAAUACAAAUUAAAUGUACAACAAAAGAAGACGAAACAUUGAUAUAGAUUACCUUAACAUGUGUCANNN